UACAGAGGGGGCAAGCGUUGUUCGGAAUUACUGGGCGUAAAGGGCGCGUAGGCGGCGCAACAAGUCACUUGUGAAAUCUCCGGGCUUAACCCGGAGCGGCCAAGUGAUACUGUCGUGCUAGAGUGCGGAAGGGGGCUACUGGAAUUCUCGGUGUAGCGGUGAAAUGCGUAGAUAUCGAGAGGAACACCUGCGGCGAAGGCGGGUAGCUGGGCCGACACUGACGCUGAGGGACGAAAGCUAGGGGAGCGAAUGGG
rnacentral:rRNA from 1 species